rnacentral:piRNA from 1 species
UUGGCUUCUAAGAGUAAUUUCUGCCCAGCA